GAUGAACGCUGGCGGCGUGCUUAACACAUGCAAGUCGAACGAAGCACUUUAACCUGAUUCUUCGGAUGAAGGUUUUUGUGACUGAGUGGCGGACGGGUGAGUAACGCGUGGGUAACCUGCCUCAUACAGGGGGAUAACAGUUAGAAAUGACUGCUAAUACCGCAUAAGACCACAGAGCCGCAUGGCUCAGUGGGAAAAACUCCGGUGGUAUGAGAUGGACCCGCGUCUGAUUAGGUAGUUGGUGGGGUAACGGCCUACCAAGCCAACGAUCAGUAGCCGACCUGAGAGGGUGACCGGCCACAUUGGGACUGAGACACGGCCCAAACUCCUACGGGAGGCAGCAGUGGGGAAUAUUGCACAAUGGGGGAAACCCUGAUGCAGCGACGCCGCGUGAGCGAAGAAGUAUUUCGGUAUGUAAAGCUCUAUCAGCAGGGAAGAAAAUGACGGUACCUGACUAAGAAGCACCGGCUA
rnacentral:rRNA from 1 species